rnacentral:rRNA from 1 species
AUUGAACGCUGGCGGCAGGCCUAACACAUGCAAGUCGAGCGAGCGGCGGACGGGUGAGUAAUGUAUGGGGACUGCACGAUAGAGGGGGAUAACUACUGGAAACGGUGGCUAAUACCGCAUACUAUCGGAUAACCCAUAUGGGAUUAGCUAGUAGGUGGGGUAAAGGCUCACCUAGGCGACGAUCCCUAGCUGGUCUGAGAGGAUGAUCAGCCACACUGGGACGGGGACACGGCCCAGAUUCCUACGGAGGCAGCGGUGGGAAUUAUUGCACAAUGGGCGCAGGCCUGAUGCAGCCAUGCCGCGUGUAUGAAGAGGGCCUUAGGUUUGUAAAGUACUUGCGGCGGGAAGGCGUUACCCGCAGAAGAAGCACCGGCUAACUCCGUGCCAGCAGCCGCGUAAUUC